CUCAAGACCACCUCCAGGUACCGUCGACAAGCGGACCGCCACCGGCUCCGGCUCCUCGCUGUCGGGCAGAGGGUAUGGUUGUCCACUUGGGACCUACCCCUCCAGGUAGAAUCCCGCAAACUUUCCCCCCGUUUCAUUGGUGCUUUCCCCAUUUCUAGAGUCAGUAGUCCCACUGCUGUCUGCCUGCUGUCGCCCCAUACCCUCCGUGUUCACCAUACUGUUCAUGUGUCCAAGAUUAAGCCCUUGUCUCACAGUCCUCUGUCAUCUGUUUCUAGGCCCAUCCCUCCACCCCGUGUCAUCGAUGGCCAGCCAGCGUAUACGAUGAGACGCCUCCUGAGGGUUCGACCACGGGGCAGGGGUUUCCAGUACCUGGUUGACUGGGAGGGUUAUGGCCCGGAGGAGGGGAAGUGCUGGGUUCCUGCUGAAGACAUCCUGGACCCGGCCGAUUUUCGCCGGUGUCAGCCAGGACUGGGGAGCUGUAAAAAAGGACAUAAGAGGACCAUUGCAGUCAAUGUGCACAGUAUAAUAUUAUAUCCAAAUAUGACACAAGUGAGGGAGAUACGACACUAGGUUCAUUGUCUGUGUUUCAAACUGACCAUCUUGAUUUUAUGAAGGGGUUAGUUAUUAUACCAGAUUAUAAUGGGGUUAGUUAUUAUACCAGAUUAUUAAGGGGUUAGUGAUUAUACCAGAUUAUAAAGGGAUUAGUUAUUAUACCAGAUUAUGAAGGGAUUAGUUAUUAUACCAGAUUAUAAUGGGGUUAGUUAUUAUACCAGAUUAUAAAGAGAUUUGUUAUUAUACCAGAUUAUUAAGGGGUUAGUUAUUAUACCAGAUUAUAAUGGGGUUAGUUAUUAUACCAGAUUAUAAUGGGGCUAGUUAUUAUACCAGAUUAUAAUGGGGUUAGUUAUUAUACCAGAUUAUGAAGGGGUUAGUUAUUAUACCAGAUUAUAAUGGGGUUAGUUAUUAUACCAGAUUAUAAAGAGAUUUGUUAUUAUACCAGAUUAUAAAGAGAUUUGUUAUUAUACCAGAUUAUUAAGGGGUUAGUUA
rnacentral:lncRNA from 1 species